rnacentral:rRNA from 1 species
GACGAACGCUGGCGGCGUGCCUAAUACAUGCAAGUGGGACGCAAGGAAACACACUGUGCUUGCACACCGUGUUUUCUUGAGUCGCGAACGGGUGAGUAACGCGUAGGUAACCUGCCUAUUAGCGGGGGAUAACUAUUGGAAACGAUAGCUAAUACCGCAUAAUAUUAAUUAUUGCAUGAUAAUUGAUUGAAAGAUGCAAGCGCAUCACUAGUAGAUGGACCUGCGUUGUAUUAGCUAGUUGGUAAGGUAAGAGCUUACCAAGGCGACGAUACAUAGCCGACCUGAGAGGGUGAUCGGCCACACUGGGACUGAGACACGGCCCAGACUCCUACGGGAGGCAGCAGUAGGGAAUCUUCGGCAAUGGACGAAAGUCUGACCGAGCAACGCCGCGUGAGUGAAGAAGGUUUUCGGAUCGUAAAGCUCUGUUGUAAGUCAAGAACGUGUGUGAGAGUGGAAAG